AAACUCAAAUCACUCUUCCUUCUUUCUACUUUCUCUCUUCCAAAGAAGACUCCGUAGAAUACCAAGGUCAAAGUGUUCUAAGGCUUCAAGAAGGUCACUUUUUUCCAUCAAUAUUCAAGGAAAAUCAAGGUAUGAAAACCUUCACUACUACAAAAAUAAACUUUAACGACAAUUGUUUUGUGGCAAUCAACUAAUUGCCACUAAUGGAUUUGCAAGGGGCAAAAUAUUAAUGGCUAAUUUAUAAUGGCCAGUAAUAAGUACUUUUUAGUAGCAAUUACAUAGAAUAGCUCCACAAGAGCAUCUUUUUUUCUAAAAAUAAAACGCAUGCCUUUCUCUAAAUCAUUUUAAGCUCCCGCCUCUCUUUAUAUUCCGGAGAAGAAAGUUUUCCUACACUAUAACAUAAAUAUUACUAACCUAAAAAUAUCCCCAACACAAAUAAGGAAAAUAUUACUAAAAAAUCUCCCAGGCAAAUAAGGUUUCCCAACCUAAUUAAAUAUAUUAGCACGCACGUAAGGUGUAUAUAUCUCUCACAACAAUGGCGUCCAGCAGCAUAUAUCUCUCUCAGGAUAGAAAAGUCGAACAACAACAAUCUUUACAGAAGCUUUCCGGUUGUACAAGUUGAUGUUCGCAAAUUUCACAUGUGGGAGAUUUCAAGAUGAAAAAGAGUUGUAAAAAUUAUUUGAAAACAUUAUUCAAAUAUAUUAGUGGGAACAAUAUAAGUUUUUAGAAGUUAUGAUAUUCAUAUUUUAGACUAGUACUUCAUUUGAUUUGUCUAAGAUUUAGUAAGAUAUAUUUUAUUUUAUGAAUUAAUAAUAAAAUAUGAUUUUUGAACUUG